rnacentral:rRNA from 1 species
UAGGGAAUCUUCGGCAAUGGACGAAAGUCUGACCGAGCAACGCCGCGUGAGUGAAGAAGGUUUUCGGAUCGUAAAACUCUGUUGUUAGAGAAGAACAAGGACGUUAGUAACUGAACGUCCCCUGACGGUAUCUAACCAGAAAGCCACGGCUAACUACGUGCCAGCAUCCGCGGUAAUACGUAGGUGGCAAGCGUUGUCCGGAUUUAUUGGGCGUAAAGCGAGCGCAGGCGGUUUCUUAAGUCUAAUGUGAAAGCCCCCGGCUCAACCGGGGAGGGUCAUUGGAAACUGGGAGACUUGAGUGCAGAAGAGGAGAGUGGAAUUCCAUGUGUAGCGGUGAAAUGCGUAGAUAUAUGGAGGAACACCAGUGGCGAAGGCGGCUCUCUGGUCUGUAACUGACGCUGAGGCUCGAAAGCGUGGGGAGCAAACAGG